ACGACCUCCCCGGCUCCGGAGUCACCUAGCGCCCUCCUCGAGGCCCCUGACCCCACCCCUUGGCGCACACCUCCCCACACGUACACGCGCGCAGGCACACGCGCUCACACGCGCACCCCGAGUGGGUGUGAUCAGAGCCGCGAUGCGCUCCGGCGCCAGGAGUUCACACUUGGCUCCAGCCAAACCCUCCCGAGCAGGCAGCUGCCCUUGGGGCUACGCACUGAGUAGAACUUCCCACUAAAGGACUCGAUACUCAGAGCUGGACCCAAAACACACUCAGGGUGACCAGAGGCUGAGAGUGAGACCAGAGUAACCAUAAUGGAUCCAAAGAAGUAUAUCUCCACAGUGUCAGUAGCAAUCAAAUAUCCCUCAAGGUUUCAGUUCUCUGGCAAUGGCUCUCCUUGACACUGAGCCAACUAGAAGUUGGGACUCCUGAAGGCGGCCCAUAGCUCUCAGCCCUGAUUACUGCCACGAGUUCCUUCCUACAGAGUUCAUCUGGCCUUUGGGAAGAGAGAAGCAUGGCAUGUCAUAUCUUCAGCCCCUAGACAGACCCAGACUUGCCUGAACCAUGGGCCCAGCAUCCCCUGGUGUUCAAUCUGGGAUCCAUGGGACACCUGGAGCACGGACAUGAGUUAAAAGGCAAAGCGAAAACACUGGUUCUACUAUCAAUUUUCUCUAAAAAGAAAAGCAUGAAGCACCUGUCAUGAUUGUGCUGAUAGGAUUCACUUUUUUAAAAAAUUUAUCUUUAUUGUUGAAAGUAUU